UGGGGAAUAUUGGACAAUGGGCGAAAGCCUGAUCCAGCCAUGCCGCGUGAGUGAUGAAGGCCCUAGGGUUGUAAACCUCUUUCACCGGUGAAGAUAAUGACGGUAGCCGGAGAAGAAGCCCCGGCUAACUUCGUGCCAGCAGCCGCGGUAAUACGAAGGGGGCUACCGUUGUUCGGAAUUACUGGCCGUAAAGCGCACGUAGGCGGAUUGUUAAGUCGGGGGUGAAAUCCCGGGGCUCAACCCCGGAACUGCCUUCGAUACUGGCAAUCUAGAGUCCGGAAGAGGUGAGUGGAAUUCCGAGUGUAGAGGUGAAAUUCGUAGAUAUUCGGAGGAACACCAGUGGCGAAGGCGGCUCACUGGUCCGGUACUGACGCUGAGGUGCGAAAGCGUGGGGAGCAAACA
rnacentral:rRNA from 1 species